rnacentral:ncRNA from 1 species
GUCGGGUCUGUGGUUGAAAGUCGAUGCCAGUCGCAGGCGAAGCGAUCCACGUAAGCAGAUAUUAAAAAAAUAAAUAUCUAUCCUAUCUGUGAGCAUGGUGCGGUUUAGAUGUAAGUCCGUCCGCCUUAUGGCGAGAGGAGUAGUAGUGGGGACGAAAUAAGUUAUGAGCGAACCUCCCUGACGGCGAGUGUGGGGUCAAAGACCAGGUCAGCCGAC